rnacentral:rRNA from 1 species
AUUGAACGCUGGCGGCAGGCCUAACACAUGCAAGUCGAGCGAGCGGCGGACGGGUGAGUAAUGUCUGGGAAACUGCCUGAUGGAGGGGGAUAACUACUGGAAACGGUAGCUAAUACCGCAUACCAUCAGAUGUGCCCAGAUGGGAUUAGCUAGUCGGUGGGUUAACGGCUCACCUAGGCGACGAUCCCUAGCUGGUCUGAAAGGCUAACCAGCUAACUGGGAACUGAGACACGGUCCAGACUCCUACGGGAGUCAGCAGUGGGGAAUAUUGCACAAUGGGAGCAAGCCUGAUGCAGCCAUGCCGCGGGUGUGAAGAAGGCCUUCGGGUUGUAAAGCACUUUCAGCGGGGAGGCGUUACCCGCAGAAGAAGCACCGGCUAACUCCGUGCCAGCAGCCGCGGUAAUUC